rnacentral:rRNA from 1 species
GACGAACGCUGGCGGCGUGCUUAACACAUGCAAGUCGAACGGAAAGGCCCUGCUUUUGUGGGGUGCUCGAGUGGCGAACGGGUGAGUAACACGUGAGUAACCUGCCCUUGACUUUGGGAUAACUUCAGGAAACUGGGGCUAAUACCGGAUAGGAGCUCCUGCUGCAUGGUGGGGGUUGGAAAGUUUCGGCGGUUGGGGAUGGACUCGCGGCUUAUCAGCUUGUUGGUGGGGUAGUGGCUUACCAAGGCUUUGACGGGUAGCCGGCCUGAGAGGGUGACCGGCCACAUUGGGACUGAGAUACGGCCCAGACUCCAACGGGAGGCAGCAGUGGGGAAUAUUGCACAAUGGGCGGAAGCCUGAUGCAGCAACGCCGCGUGCGGGAUGACGGCCUUCGGGUUGUAAUCCGCUUUCGCCUGUGACGAAGAGUGAGUGACGGUAAUGGGUAAAGAAGCACCGGCUAACUACGUG